UCUCUCAUCUGAUGAAAUCUCAAACCUCGGAUUUCUACUUGUCGGAAUACUAGGAAGUCCGAAACACCUACGAAGAUUAGUUGAUGAAACCCAUCAUCGGUCGAGCGACACUGGCGCUAGCGCUGCUCUCUCCUUCGAAAUUCAAGCAAUCCAACCUCGCAUUUCGCUCCAAUCCUCGCAAGCGUUUCAUCGAUCCGCCAGAAGCUUACUCCACAAAUGCCACUCCCCCAGCCGGUCCCGGGAUCGACCCGCCGUCGCGUGCCCUCCACCUGUUCGACGAAUUGUCCGACUGGGACGUCGUCUCGGCUUCGGCCCUGCUCGGACGCUGCGCUCGUGGCCACCGCCACGACGAGGUGAUCCGUCUCUUCUCCAGGGUGCUCGCUUCGAGUAUCAGGCCCAAUGAGUUCACGUUCGGCACCGCGGUUCACUCAUCGGUUGUGCUCGGAGACGUUCGCGUGGGGAAGCAGCUCCACGCUUGCGCGAUGAAGAUGGGCCUCCACUCGAUCGUGUUCGUGGGCAGUGCGGUCUUGGAUGCGUAUGCCAAGUUGAGCACUCUCGAUGAGGCUCGCAGGGCUUUCGAAGAUACCAGGGAGCCCAAUGUGGUAUCCUACACGACUUUGAUAAGUGGGUACCUGAAGAAGGGUAGCUUUGGUGAUGCUCUAGCUCUUUUCGAGAAUAUGCCGGAGAAAAAUGUGGUCUCUUGGAACGCGGUGAUUUGUGGCCAUAGCCAAGCUGGUCACAGCGAGGAGGCUGUCAAUCUAUUCAUCAGGAUGCUGAGGGAAGGGUUUAUGCCCAAUGAAUCCACUUUCCCAUGUGCGCUAACGGCAUCUGCCAAUAUUGCAGCUCUUGGGAUAGGCAGAAGCUUCCAUGGCUUUGCAAUUAAGUGCUUGGGUAAGUUUGGCGUGUUCGUGGCCAACUCAUUAAUUAGUUUCUAUGCCAAAUGUGGAAGCAUGGAAGAUAGUCUUUUGGUUUUCGAUAAGCAAGUGGGGAAAAAUCGUGUUUCAUGCAAUGCUGUGAUAUGUGGUUUUGCACAGAAUGGGGAGGCAAAGGAAGCUAUUAACUUCUUCGAGACAAUGCGGACCACGGGAUUCGAGCCUAAUGGUGUUUCCUAUCUUGGUUUGUUGUGGGCUUGUAAUCAUGCAGGACUUGUCGAUGAGGGCUACUCCUACUUCAAUAAGGGAAGAUUAGAGAACCCCACCAUGCUAAAAUCAGAGCACUAUGCCUGUAUGGUUGAUUUAUUUUCUCGCUGCGGGCGUUUCAAAGAAGCAGAAGAUUUUCUUAAAGAUUUGCCUUUUGAUCCAGGAAUUGGAUUUUGGAAGGCAUUGCUAGGAGGCUGCCAAAUUCAUUCUAAUUUUGAAUUGGGGGAACUGGCAGCUCAAAGGAUUCUGGCUUUAGAUCCUAAAGAUGUAUCAUCCUACGUAAUGAUGUCUAAUGCCCAUUCUGUUGCUGGUAGAUGGCAGAGUGUCUCGACUUUAAGAAAGGACAUGAGAGAGAAAGGGAUGAUGAGAGUCCCUGGUUGCAGCUGGAUUGAAAUAAAAAAUAAAAAUCAUGUAUUUGUAACUGGGGAUAGGAAUCAUAUCCAAGAGGUGACAGGACCACCUUAUCAACUGUUGAUGGUGAAACUAGACGAUGGGAGUGGCGACACUGGAAAAUGAACUUCAACCUUUGAGAGACUAGUACCUCUGGAAAAAUCUCAUGAGGAGCUUCUCUUUGCAACGGUGAGUCAAUGCAGAGUGGAAGGAAUCUCUUAAUGCUGCAAGGGCAGAAGGAAGCCAAAAACAAAAUUAUGACAGAAAAGUGGGGCAAACCUCCUUGGGAUAGUAAAGCUCAACUGUGAUGCAUGGAAGAAUGGUAAGAUGUUCUUGCUUUCUCAGCUAAAGAUGAUGAGGCAAGUGGAUGCAGGCGUAUGGAGAAAUGAAGGGUAGAUGUUUUGAUGCAGCUCCUGAGAGACUGAAGCUUUGUUGCUGGCUUUCCAGGGGAUGGAUGAUAUGCCUUGGUACCAGCUAUUAUAGAAGGAGAUUGUAAAGUGCUGAUAGAUGCGAAGGCAACAUUUUCAAACACAAGAUAGCGAUAAAGAAUGUAUCUGGUGAAUGUAAGUAUUAGUGUAGAAACCUUAGGACCAUUUAUUUUAGCAUAAGUCGUUAAUGCAUCAUAAAAGAAGCUUUCUCCCCAAAUCACUGAUUGCUAUGGAAACAUUAUAUUUGGUAUCUCA